rnacentral:rRNA from 1 species
UUGGAGGGCAAGUCUGGUGCCAGCAGCCGCGGUAAUUCCAGCUCCAAUAGCGUAUAUUAAAGUUGUUGCAGUUAAAAAGCUCGUAGUUGAAUUUCGGGGUCAGUAGAUUGGUCGUGCCACUGGUAUGUACUGGUCUUACUGGCUCCUCCUUCCUGAUGAACCGUAAUGCCAUUAAUUUGGUGUUGCGGGGAGACUGGACUGUUACUUUGAAAAAAUUAGAGUGUUUAAAGCAGGCUAACGCUUGAAUACAUUAGCAUGGAAUAAUGAAAUAGGACGUUCGAUCUUAUUUUGUUGGUUUCUAAGAUUGACGUAAUGAUUAAUAGGGAUAGUUGGGGGCAUUAGUAUUCAAUUGUCAGAGGUGAAAUUCUUGGAUUUAUUGAAGACUAACUACUGCGAAAGCAUUUGCCAAGGAUGUUUUCAUUAAUCAAGAACGAAAGUUAGGGGAUCGAAGACGAUCAGAUACCGUCGUAGUCUUAACCAUAAACUAUGCCGACUAGGGAUCGGAUGAUGUUAAUUUUUUAAUGACUCAUUCGGCGCCUUACGGGAAA